GACGAACUCUGGCGGCGUGCUUAACACAUGCAAGUCGAACGAAGUGGCGAACGGGUGAGUAACGCGUAAUCAACCUGCCCUUCAGAGGGGGACAACAGUUGGAAACGACUGCUAAUACCGCAUACUGAAGGAGGGGAUUGCGUCUGAUUAGCUCGUUGGAGGGGUAACGGCCCACCAAGGCGAUGAUGGGUAGCCGGACUGGGAGGGUGAACGGCCACAAGGGGAAUGAGACACGGCCCUUACGCAGACGGGAGGAAGCAGUGGGGAAUAUUGGACAAUGGACCAAAGUCUGAUCCAGCAAGUCUGUGUGCAAGAUGAAGGUUUUCGGAAUGUAAAGUGCUUUCAGUUGGGAAGCGGUACCAACAGAAGAAGUGACGGCUAAAUACGUGCCAGCAGCCGCGGUAAUAC
rnacentral:rRNA from 1 species